CCUACGGGAGGCAGCAGUGGGGAAUAUUGGACAAUGGGCGCAAGCCUGAUCCAGCAAUGCCGCGUGUGUGAAGAAGGCCUUCGGGUUGUAAAGCACUUUAGGCAGGGAAGAAAAAAUCGGCGAUAACAUCGCCGAUCUUGACGGUACCUGAGGAAUAAGCACCGGCUAACUCUGUGCCAGCAGCCGCGGUAAUACAGAGGGUGCAAGCGUUAAUCGGAUUUACUGGGCGUAAAGCGUGUGUAGGUGGUUAGAAAAGUCGAUUGUGAAAUCCCUGGGCUCAACCCGGGAACUGCUUUCGAGACUGUUUGACUAGAAUUCGGUAGAGGGAGGCGGAACUCCAGGUGUAGCGGUGAAAUGCGUAGAUAUCUGGAAGAACACCAAUGGCGAAGGCAACCUCCUGGGCCUGAAUUGACACUGAGACACGAAAGCGUGGGGAUCAAACAGGAUUAGAUACCCUGGUAGUCCACGCCGUAAACGAUGAGAACUUGACGUCGGUUUGCUCUGCGAAUCGGUGUCGUAGCUAACGCGAUAAGUUCUCCGCCUGGGGAGUACGGCCGCAAGGUUGAAACUUAAAUGAAUUGACGGCUGAGACUAAGGCGACACGAGGGAGAGGG
rnacentral:rRNA from 1 species